CGAUUAUUAAGCAUAAGCAUAGCACCCAAAUAUUUCCAUCUAUUCUUGAUACCCCGUUGUUUUGUUCCUAAAAUCAGCCAACAACUGUCCUUAGAGAGAUUCCCCAAGGAAAGCCUGAUUUUCUUUUCUUUUGAGAACGUGAACAUGAGCGGUAACUGAACACCCACACAAUCUCGAUUUUAAAGAGAGAGACUGUCAUCGCCAUCUCUUUGGACAUGCAUGUGUUAAGCAAAUGGACUGAACUGAAUGAAGAGUGAUUUGACUAAGCAUUUUCGAUCUUAGGCGAACGAUGGGUUACCGGGUCUACGACCUCGCAAGGCACUACUGUAGAGCUCUUUGGGCCUGACGCUUUGCUUUCUCACUUUCCCAGAACUGCUACUUUCCUGCUUUUAGUACAUUGCUUUUCGUAUCAUCUAUGAGAAUUCUCGUUUCAGAAACUCCUCAAUAUAGUCGUUAUGGCAAUUCUAACCAUGUAGAUUUUAUUACCAAAUUGUAGUUUUUUCUUUGUCUACUGUCCAAGACUGUGCAAGAUACCUCAAGUACUGUCCAACUAAUACUUUCCAAUUCUGCCUUUCAUUGCGAAAAAAAGCUGUCCAAGUAUAAGUAUCUGUCUUUGCUGCAGCACCUUUCCUCCUUCCAUGGAUCUCUUCUUCGGGUAUCUAUGUCUUUCUUUGAGUCAGGCGACAAAGGAAGGUACAACUAAACUGUAGCGGUAGGAAUAGACCUUGAAUCUGCGAUCAGAACAGAUCCUCGUUUUCUACUUGCUAAAGGGAAGACUAAUGCUUGCUGAACGUAUAAAGAAUAAUGUGAAUGGUACCACUAGAUAAAACCAAUGGAAGGAAAGUGGUAGAAUAAGAAGGAUAGGGUUUUCUGUAUCUAUACCGAAAGUGGAAUGUGGCUAGUGUGCUUGGAUAGGCCUUUGAAGCUUCCAUGUUCUCAUAUAUCUGGCCGGGUAUUCAGUGUCUGAUCCAACAGAAGGGAAAGCCUACCUCAUCCUCAUAUAGUAUUGCCUUGUAGCUUGCAUCUUCGCAGCCUGCUCUUGUCGAGUACUAACUCCAUCCCUAUUCAGCUUACCUAGAGCCUGCCUGUUGGAGUUGCGUUCUCUACUCUAAAUGGGUUCAUUUUUUAUUUUUAGACACCUUCUCUCCAGCUAUAUACAGCCUGGAUUCAUCUACUACAGAAUCCAAAUCAGGUUCGUUGCUAUUGCUUAUAGCGAUUUGCAUCCAAUAUUGGGGAAGAAUCAAUAUACUUCUAAUGUCGAAUCAGGAUCAACUAAGAAAGAAAUCAAGUUAAGUAUUGGGUGGAACUCUUACAAAGCUUUUCAAAUAUUGGAGAAGUGGGCGGUAGAACACCAUCUGAACUAAUUGGCAUACAGGUUCGGUACUACUUGGCUACUACUUGAACAGAUGGGUUUAGUCCCUUCCAUCGCUAGCCCUUAUACGCUAGGGAUAUUCGUACGAAACAUAUAUGACUACGAAUUGAUAGUUGCAGACGGCUGUAGAUAAGGUUGUUGCUUCGGCUCCUCGGCUAAGAAAAAUAAUAGUUGUAUUGGCAAGGCAUGAAAGGGAUUUUUUAAUGCUAUCCGAAGACGAAUCGGAAUACGGAACCGGAAGCCGUAGCCCAGAACCUUAAGCUUGAGCGGAAGGGGAGGAAACCGGCUAUUCGAACUGGCGGGUGGGUGGAUACCCUAGUUCUUAUUGCUUUGUCGGAGCAGGGGCGGAGAGGGAUUCAUUAGUUUGACAACACAAGGGUGUCAUGUGGAGAAAGAGAAUUGAACUAAUCUCCGGGUACUGGUACCGCUUAAGCCCAAGCAAGUGAAGAAAUCCUGUAAGAUGGACUUGAUUUACUUUCCUUUCCAAGGCCUAUACCAUAUGGUUUGGGUAUACCACUAUCACCUAUCGAAAUGAAACACUAACCUGCCCACGACCCCCUAUACCGGAUACCUUUGCUUUGAAACCAAUGACUAGUAGAGGAUUUCGAGGAACUACAGCAAAGGGAAGUAGGGAUGGGCUUUCCUCGGAUUAGUAUUCGGAUUUUGCUGAUCUUGCCAAUGGUUGUUAUUCAAAAGAAGGGUUCGCACCGGCAAAGAAGAAUAUAUUUUCUAGUUGUAGCUUUCGAGGAGAAGAAGGUGCGGAAUCAGCCUGAGAAUCUUCUGCUAAUCAGUCAAAAUCCUCUUUUGUUCUACCGCUCAGAAAGGAAUUGUUGGUGUCUAGCUCAGCCACUAGUAAGGAAAGGAGCAGAUCAUCCCGGUAUCCCAGCAGAAGGGCUCUGCGGGAUAAGCGAGCAAGCGGCAUAGGGUCAAGUUGAAGAGUCACCCUUGCUUUCGUCAGAAGUCAUUCCUUCUUUCGACACUGGGUAAAGACAAGAAGGCGGCUUCGGUAAAGAAAGAACCGACGGGAGAGAAGAUGGCCUAGCUCGCGGGGAGAACUACUGAAACAAGAAAAGGUGGCCGGGCUUAGAAUGAGGGGAAGGAAGGAGUCGAGGUGGAAAGUUGCUCCUGCUUUUUUGAAUAUGUAAAGGGCUGGUUGAGGUGCUGAUCUUGGUUGCUCUGCUCUCUCCAUUCCUAUGAGAAAGGAAAGGUUGGCCAAGCUAGAACAUCUAUAGUGACAGACGAGGGCGAAUCGUAACUAGAAGAAGGAGACUACCUCCAAACUGCUUCAAAUCAAGAAAUUGUGGGGAGCUUUCUGGCUUGCAGUGCCUGGCCUGUUCAUACUAACUAACAGUCAUGAUAUUCAAGGUACGUAUCUUGAUAAGAUCAGGCAACGGAAAAAGCUUGGCUCGCGAAGGGUAAUGGACAGAGCCGGCUUGGUUCGGUGUAUAUUCUGUUGGCCUGGCUGUCGAGUACUUAUUCUAACUAACUACCAACUAGGCAAGGAAGUCAUAUACUUGAGCUUUGCCACUUGGCCAUUACAGAUAUUCAUUAAAGGGCUGAGUACCCCCAAUGGGGUAGCCGUCCAUGCCGUGAAAAGGAAACCGAAGAAUAAUAGCGAAGAUAUCACUAAGGAAGAUAAGGUUUUAUCUUGUCGGGGGAAUGUGGAGAAAUCAUAAAAGCAAAAAUAAAGGUUGUCGGUGGCGCGAGAAGAUAGUUCUUCAAAUGUUUGCGAAGCGCAAGACCGUGUAUCUGCUUAUCCACCCGCGGAUUGUAGGUUAGUAAUGCGGAUCUUUACCCCUUAUGGACCAAAUCCCGGGCACUGUAAAGACUUGCAUUUCGCCACCGGGUGAGAAAAUCUGCAGGAUCCACCUUUGUUUGAUAUCAACUGGACCUUAUGCGAGAGAAAGUGAUGCCAUCAGAAUCUUCCGGUAUUAAUAUGUAAUUGGAUAAACUGAGCUUUCACCUAGAAACUUCUAUUUCUGUGCAAGAAAGAAAGACUAAAAGCGCGUUCUACUAAACUCCGGAUUGACUGGUUGUCUUACGCAGUGCUAGCAGGGGUUCGAAUCUUCUUGAUGCGGAUUAUCCAAGCUUAGAGUAUGAAAAUAGGAGCUCUUCUUAAUCCCGGGCCUGCUUUGCUUUCCUCUAGAAGAGACAGGCUUACUGAAACUAGCACUAGCCGCCCAACUAUUUUCUUUAACCAGGUAAGCAGCUGUCCCUUCCUCGUUCCACUGCGCUACGCCUACACCGGUUUGCUCCUUUACUGCCUCCUUUGCGGAUUGUCCUCCCGGCGGUUGCAUCUAACCUGCUCCCAAUCUGAUCCCUAUCCUAGUUCUGGCUCCGGCCCACUUUCAUCAGCAGAUCCUGCCUUUGUAUUUGACUCUUGAAGAUAUCAACUCAUACGCCAGCUCCACCGAUAUAGCUCUCUUCCUCGGACUAGAGGGUCCUAUCUAUCCGAGUGUUCCUACUAGCCAGCUGUCUUUAACCAGAGUAUCCGGCCGAGGCACAUUCGUUUAUGCCGAGAACCAGUAGCCGAUGCUCUUCGACUCACUCCCGCUCGAAAGAAAGUAGUGCUAUCCACUGCUGGGCUAGCUCCCCAAUCCUUCCUGGAUCCUAUAAGCCUACCCGCUCUGUUUCCUGCCUUGUUUCAAUAACCGUACCUGCUUUCUUAAGUCUUACUUUCCGACGGAUAUUCGUAACCGUAGCUUUCUUUGGCGGAAGGUACACUACUUCUCUUCUUUCGCCUACUUGUUUUCCUGCUUGCUAAGCGGCUUGUGUUGUUCGCCUCGGCCCUGCUUCCUUUCCGUAGUGAGAGAAGUGAUUACACUCGAGCAUCUUCGAGGCUGCUUUCUGCUAGCCAUAUUCCUAAUCUGGGUAUCCUUCGUUGCACAUCUUCUGAAAAGAUAAGGGCUCGGUAUCGGCUCAAUCGAACAAGCUGAGGUAUAUAGGGAAUAGUAGAACAUAUUGAUUAUCCUAUUGGAUUGGUUCCGCUCAGUCGAGAUAUGAUGACUCAAUGGGCAUUGAGAGUUUCGAUUCAAUGUGGGAAUGACUAAGACAAGUUAGGCGAAACAGAUAUGCAUGCACCAUAGAGGUUUAUCCACCAUAGGUUUGUACACAAGAAUAGUAGUCACUGCGAGGGAUGCACAUAAAUCAGAUCUGCACUGGUAUAAGUGAUAGGUUUUGGAAACAGCAUAAUGAACGUAACGCACAGAAGAAAUAGAAUGAAAUGGUUAACUAAGAAUUAUAGAAUGAAAAAGCUGAGUAAUAAACAAGGAUUGGUUUGCUAUUUAUGAUGACGAAGAGCUGGUACAAGCCUCCUUCAGGAAAUGACCCUGCGAUGAAUGCAAUCUACAUUCUUCCAAGAUGGUAUAUGACAGAAAGAAAGUGGUGCGAUGAAUUAGUAUCAUUUACUAGUCAUUCUAAAACCGUUCCAAUUCAUUUCACAUUUCAUUACCUAGAGCCUGAGAGGGGUCACUGCUGAGAGGGUUCAUACUAUACCUAUUACUAUGGAUGCUUCAUCUAGCGCAUACCAAAUCAAGCCAGCCGGGUAUCAUAGGAGACAGGGGAAAAAGCACUUUACAAAUCACUCACUGGGUCGGAGGAUGCUUAUAAGAAAUCAGUAGCUGGGGUUGGUAGUCCUGGAACAGCUUUUCCUGCAUGCCUAAAAGAAAGAGUUGGCUUUGGGACAAGACAAGCAAGGGCGAAAGCUUCACUGGCUGUCCCAACUGCUUUACCUGCUGUCCCUACUAUUCAUUCUUCGCCAAGAGAGCUAUCACUUCACAACUCAAGUCCGGGAGCAGUCCCGGCUGCAGCAUCUCACUAAGCAACAUAGCUAACUAUUCGUUACACUAGUACUGCUCGAUCAACUAGUCCCGGGAUUGCAUUCUCUACUGAACUAACUACUGCUUUCCGAGGGAAAACACAACAUAGUGCAUCUUCAGAUGUGCGAAAAAGUCUAGAUUUCAUCAUCAAACGUAGUGAGAGCAGGUUGCAGGUGUUUUAUACCAGCAGUUCUGGAACAAGAAGUUUCCAUCUUAAUGAAUCUAGUCAACAAGGUUCGCUGGAUACAUGGAUAUACCGGAUAUACCAGUUGUUUAUGAAGGUUGGUCUAUUACUAUAGUGCAGGACUACAUGAAAUCGAAAUCAAUCAAUGUUUGUUUGGGUCAGACGAAAAAGAGACAUCAAAUAACGCUUCAAUUGCCUACAGAAAGUCGGGAUCGACUGAAAUCUAUGUAUGAGGGCCACUUUCGCUAAUUGCAUUCAUCAACAGGAUGCUUCUUUAGCUUCAUGGGUUAGAAAAUGUUGUAUGAUUUGGAAUAUUCCUAUCUACACUGUACACAACUGCUUUAUAACUAAUGCUUUGAAUGCAAUGCAAAUUCCAACAUUCUACACAGUAAGCUUCAUGAAUCUACUCGAACCUCUGUAUAUUGUCAACAGGCUCUGAUUUAUGAUAACCUGAUUCGGUAUUCUUCAAUGAAACAUUCUAUGACUGUGAUUGAUAGUGGUUAUGGUACAAAGAUACUGGAUAUUUGCUUGAAAGACAAGGAUGAGACCCACCACUGGAUAAGCGAAGAAGUACUGCGACGAGUUUUCAAUUCACUAGCCGAACAAAGAUCCUUCAAUGCAAAGGAACAAAAGGGUAUGGGAUUCUCAUGUCAAAGCAUUCAUUGAUAACUACUACUUCUUUGUUUCAUGUGUUGCAUCCAAAAAUGGUUAAUUAAGUAAUAGCAUUUAUAUUACCAAUUUGCUUUCAACUCUUAUUGAAAAAAAGCUCCGACCUUGGCUGUUUAGCAGUACACCCAUAAGUGAAUCCGGAAGUAACGUAGUACAGGGCGUAGCUCAAUCUUCUCUCGUUGGAUCCCAACCUAAAAGUAGCUAAGAGCGGGCCUAAUAUAAAAGAUAGCAUAGAGUUGUCAGUUUAAGUAGCUCCCCUUUUCCCGAGAGCGGGAGUCAGAGCAUCCAUUUCAUUCGUUUAGGUGGGGAAGAGGAAAAGCUAGACAAGCUUGCAAUCGAUCAGCUGCAAGUUCUUCGAACUUAUAAUAGCGGGAAUCUGGUCAUUGAUCCAAAGCUCACAAAGAGAUCACAAACCAAACAAUUCAUAGGAGUCCCCCACUAGUGCCGGUUUGACAUCCACUCCAGCAGCGCACCAAGAGAAUCAAGUCAGUGGUAGUUAUAUAAGUCAUCUCCGACGAAACAAUCAUCCACUACUUCAAUAGUGGCUUUUCGCCCUAGGCCUCCCUCUUUGGGAGCAGUUCGUGUCGUAAGAUGUCAGGUUGAGUCCGCCAACGAACGCAAUCCCUAGAAUCUGUUUUGAUCUUAUUAUUUGCUUUCAAUAAGAAGCGGGAGAUAAGCCUUCAUGACUGCAAUUUCCAGCCGGGAAAGAAGAGUGGGUACGGGGUCUUCUUUCACUUUUGUUAAGAUGUCGAGUCGGGUCAAGGAGAUUCAUAUAAGUGAUUGACUUGUUUACUUGGGAGAAAUAGCUAGGGCGGCGCAAAUCCUACCUGUAUCGGUACUCGUUUAAAGUAUGCGAUACACAAUCCUUUUAGUCGCGGGUGUCAGGCAAGAAAGAAAUUUCUGUAUGGGGCACUCGCCGCUUUUAUUUUUAGAUUGACUAAAGAAUUUCAAAAAUUGUUUAAGAUUGAAAGGCUUGAACUACCCUAGCCCACAACCCGGAAGAAAUAAGACCUAUGGCAAUCUAACAGGGUUGGUCUCACAUGAGAUUGACCGGAAGGAACACUACUCCUUUUCCCGAUUAGAAGAUUUUGACCCGAGUUUUAGUUGAUUGUUCAGCAUAAGCGGCACCUAACCACACUCAACCACGAUUGGAACUGGGCAAGGUAGGGCUUCAACCAACUUUACUUUCGAGCCCUGAACUUUAUGCAUUGAGUCUUCUUGUAGUAAAAGACUUGCCCAAGGUACUUUUACUUACAUUGAACUUAACACAGGGUCUUCUAACUGAUAUUUGGUAGAGAAGGAAUGAGCCGGAACUAUACCACUUCUUUUAUCAGAAGAUUAUUUAACACCGAUAAAGGCUUUUCUUCCGCAGUCCAUUGAUGACCGAUUCCCUGCCUUUUACUGUUUCCCCUGUACACCCAUGGAAUAUAUAAACGGUGAACAGUCCACGUAUACAUAGUGGCCGACUAGUACACCAGACAGGAAUAAUAAACGAAAGACAGAACGACAGAAAGAAGGCUUACUCCCAAGUACGGAGAUCACGUUGGUAGCUACGACCAAUCUACACUCUCUUUUAGAUUAUUAUUUGACUGAAUAUCCUAGUGUAGUGUAGGAAAAAUCAACUACUUACAUUGUAUACUUAUCCACUCCCUUAGAUACCGAGGAUCUCUUCUAGGCGCGAAGCGAUUCAUUUCAUUAUAUCUGAUAAAAAUUGAAGAUUUGUUUCCCUAAAAAUUAUAGGUCUCUUUCAACCUUCGGCCUCCUUCUCUUUGGUCGAUAAGAAUUCCGGUGGCUAAGUUCCGAGAAAUUGAUUCGCUCGAGAACGAAGAGUGUGCCGUCUGAAAGAUAUUAUUUUAAGCACGAAAAGAAGAAAAGAAAAAGGGUGCGAAGCAAAAUAGAAAGGAUACGACUUUCUAUUGUUGGUACCCCGUGCAUCUGCUUCCUUUUCACGUGUGUAUAGAGAUAGAAAGCGCGGGAAGAAGUUUGCCUCACUCAUCUUUUUUACGUACUCAAAGAAUGAAAGAAUGCAUUCUCCUUUUCAUCUUGCAGCCUUAUACCGGGCCUAGCACACCAGAGACUUAUGAUGAUCCUGCUUACCAAAAAAACUCCUUCCUAAUUCGUGUAUGCGCGUCGAGUAGCUUGGGUUUCCCACGCUCUGGGUUUAGGAAUAGCCAAAUCCAGGCGCGCAGCGAAAAAAAAGGCCAACAGCAAUACCAAAUGGUCUGUGCUUUUACCAGUAAUCCACCUUAGCGGCCUUUGUAGAAAAACCUUACCAGAUAGCAUUUAUGGAACCUGCCACCUAGGCUUAUUAUUUAGUUAUGUAUUCAUUUAUUUUUAUUUAUUUCCAAUUGUAGAGGGGUGGCUUUAUACAAACUUUCGUGGGUCACAGCUCUCAAUCAAGUCACCUCGUUGGAUUUCCACCCCAAGAGAACUGAGCUGCUUUGCUCGUGUGAUGACAACGGCGAGAUCCGUUUCUGGCUUGUUGGUCAAAAUGCACCUUCUCGUGUUUCUAGGGAAAGACUCAAAACCUUUUCUGAUUUACUUUUCUUCUUUCUUAUGAGCUGUGAAACGGCUUAAGCACAAACAAAUUUCUUUUGGGAUCAGGGUGGCACUCCCAAUGUGAGGAAAGAACACAAGACCAUAGAGAUGGCAUCGCGCAAAUCCCGUUGUGGACUGGGCACCACAUCUUUAUCAGUUUUUUACCGCCUUUCUAGCGACCUGCGGCCUCAACGCUCCGCGCCUUGUUUCUUUUCUUAUUUUUAUAGUACUAAAUUGCUUUGUCCCGGGUCUUCAACUCAAUUCUCUCCGGCCCAACCAAUAGUUGCUCCACCACUCUUCCCCAAGUCCGUACUAACUGGACUCGCUUCCGCUCCGGUCGACAGACUCGCUCUAUCUUCAUUCCCGAGCUCAGACAUUUUUUUUUUCGCCACCUGGACGCUUCGCUCCGAGAGUUUUCUUCCAGCCGAAAGAGGCUCAACCCGUGAGAAAGAGGUAUUCAUUUGCACCAGUCCGGAAUAGAGAUGUUCGCCAGUCCGUGAGUUGCUUUGCCCCUCGGGUCGGCUUGUGCUUGCUUUCUCAAUCCUACUCAAUCCUAACCCUUGCUUUCUCCGUGCCUACUCCAUCCGUCCCAUGCUUGUUUGCCCUAUCGGUCGGAAACAGUGGCCCAUCGCUAACGCUCGGCCAGUCUCUUCAUUCUCCGUUGCCCAUCGCUAACGCUCGGCAACCCGUCCCCUCGCUCUUCCGCUCGGGUCAAUCCUAUCGUACCAAUCCAAUCCUUUUUAGUAGCGAGCCAGAAUCGAACCAGCGCUUGAAGCAAAGAUUUCCAUCUUGUCGCCACUUUUGGUCACCCGGUUCACCACGUUAGUGGCUACAUCCGGGACGGACUCCCUCGUGCUAAUUUUUCUUUCAAUCUUCGGGGAACGCCCGGUUUAGGAUGGCCUCGCGUUUAUCCUUUUUUUCUAAAUCUUUUUUUAGAACCCAUAGGUUCUCAAUAGUGAAAGCCUUAUUUUGGCUUUGUAGAAUUGUCUCAACUAAGUAGUGGACACAGGCCUCUUCACCUUCUUUCGUAACGAGGUUAGUUGUUUGUUCUAAAAGUGGCAUUUGAACGCCAAACUUCUUAUUGCAAAAAAACCACAAGUGUUCUUUUCUUUAAAGAUUUUUAUCUCAAGGUUUUUUAUCUCUGUGUUUAAUUGUUCCGGAGUCAAUUUUUUAAUAGUCGAAAGAUAAUCUUGUAGGUCGAUUGCUUCUUUUGCUUCGGCCCGGUGUCUUUUAACACCCUCAUGCUUUUCCUUCCUAUUCUUUAAAUAACAGAACUUGACAAGCAUUUCCUAUUGAUUUGGCCGGCGGGCCUAGACGUUUACUCUGUCUUUCCUUCUCGAGAGCCCUCCUGAAUUCGCUCUUUCUCGAUUCUCUGGAAUUUGUCUAUGAGUGAGUGAAUCUAAUUUUCCUGGACUUGGCUAAUGUUUAGUCCAGGUACCCCACUUUCCGAACAUCCAGUCAGACGAACAAAGUUGCGGCUUCUUGAAAUGACCAGCCUAUGAAAGAAGCGGAAAAGCGUAACGACUUGAUUUUGAGAUAGAGGAUAUUGGAAAGAAGUGCGUAGGUAGGCCUCAACGUGUUCAUUGAGUAGCUUGAGGAAGUUUGCCAUUGUGAGACGGUUAAGGCCACCCCUAAACUCCUGGACCAGUCUACCAGUGCUAAUACUUUUCCCCCACAUCUUUAAAGGAAUCCUAACUUUGAUGCCCCCACUAUCUGUAAAAGAGACAAGCAACCCUAGAACGUCAAACUUUUUUUUCCCACCAAGAAAAAUGAGAAGUUUCUCAGAGGUAAUCUCCUCCCAGCUGACAUCGAGGUCUAACUUAUCGCAAUAAUUUUUGAGUAUGGUUCGCGCAUGCUCUUUAGCUCUAGCGGCAUUAAAGAAAUUUUGAAUUCGUGGAAUGCCUAACAAGAUUGUGUCCGCAUACCUAGCAUAGUACACCUUCAAAGGCUGUUCUCCCUCUUGGGAGAAGUACCACACCUCUUUUAAGAUCUUGUCAAGCUGGUGAAGAUAACAUUGGAUUAGAACUUGGGAGAUAGAGGUGUCUUGCGGUAUACCUAUAGAUUGGCAUCUGUAUUUUUUUCCCCGCACCAAAAAUCUCUGAACCAAAUCCACAAACCCAGAGUUUUCCUCACCAAGAUGCUCUCUAAGAAAAUUACCCAGUAGGUGGUGAUCUAUCCCUGAUCUGCACUCAACGAUUGAAAACUUCACCAUCCAAGCCAUCUCAGGCCAUCGGGAAACGCUUGCGAAGAAAGACCUAGCACCCCUCGCUACCCAAUACUCUCUGGAAUUUAGAUGGUAUAUCGAGUCCAUUUCCAAACAAAGCAAGCGGGCCAUUGCCUCGACUAUGACAGCAUCCAAAGCGCCUAUCGGCCAUAAUUUAUCUGGCUUGGUAGGAUCCCGUAUUGACCAACGCCUGCGAGAGAAGGUGUAACCCCCUUUUAGUAAGCAGCGUAUAACAUGGCUAACCUCACUAUAUGUAGUAUUUGAAUGAAUAGAUGAAUGCCUCCAGUUUUGGAGUAGAUAUAGGCACAAUUUAGCAAGUAACAUGGUUGCAGUCACAAUUCCUUAAUCUUCUCGGCUGGAAUCUACAAUGGGCUACGUACGCCCUUGUUUUUGAAUCACGGAAAUGCAGAGAAUUAGUGCUUACCUGCAGUCCACCCUUUCUUUGAACCUUGUAAAUGAUCGAAUUUACAGAUAUGAACUGAGUGCCAUUUGAUGAGUAAGAUCGAACAAGGGAGAGGGAUAUGGAAAGGAUGAAGUAAUGAAAGAGGAAGUCAUUGCUAGUAGUAACGACUUGUCACGAUCCAUUGGUUCAUAUAGAAUCCAUGUCCUAGGUCUAUCAAAAAACAUUCUUUUCGCUAAGCGUAUAUAAUAAAAUAGAGUGAAAGGGUCCACCCCGAAACCAAGGGGGUACUAACUAACAGCUGAGUCCUCUCCGAACCGCAGGAGAUAGUUGCCCAUCAUACGGCUCACCAACUUCACUUGCCUCUAAGGGAAGCUCGCUCCGGGCAGGUUCGGAUCACUUACUAUACACGGCCCUACGAAGGGGUUAGGAGCGUUUUCAAGAUGAUUCUUUCUUUGUCGAGACGAAAAAGGAACCCAUCUUUUCGAUUGAAAAAUGUGAGUCUGUUUUGCCCACUUUAUCCAUCCCCCUCUAUAAAAAUGAUCAAAAAGGCAUUGCUUCUUAUUCCCGUGUUUGAUCUUAUCCAUCUCUGCCCCGCUUCCAUGUGGGCAGAGACCCCUGUAGAGAAUGAAGAGGAGCCAAGGAUCUUACUCUCAAGAGUGCUUCGAUAGGCUCCACUCUCUCCCCUGAAUAAGUCAGGCUCCGUUAGCCUGGGCUGAGAUGGGGAUAACGAGUCGACGAUUGAAGCCCCCAACGUUCUGCCAGACACUGGACAGGGGUAAGCUCUGUAAAUGUGUAGAGCCAAGUGUAGUGUGGUGUAGUAGUAGGCACUUCUAGGCCCCUUCCCGGCUACUGGAUCACUCCAGUGCUUCGGGUACUACGGACCCUCUGCCAUCCAUUGCAGCAGAGCCGUUUCAUGAGCGGGGGGGCUAAGCGCAGUUCUUUGAAUCAAAGGUUUCAUGAAAUCAAAAUAGAUUCUUUUUUAGAUAUCUGGAUAGAUGGAUGGAUCUAUCUUUCUAUUCAGAUAUCUUUUGCAAUCAGCCCCAAAUCCUUGAUUUGGCCAGGAAACAAAGCACUGCUUUGGGCCCAGGAAGCGAAGGGAAUGAGCUCGGCUGCUUCUCCUCCACACUUCUUUAUUUCUCCGUGCCCCUUCCGCAUGCGCUUCGCGCGCCAUUGGCGCUUUGCUCUCCUCUUAUUUCUUCAUUGGAGGGUUCGGAUGGACUUCGCCGUUCUUUCCCAACGAAAAUGGAAAGGGCUGUAUCACAUCGAGAUGUCGAUUCGUUUUCCGCCCCAAAUGAGAUGGGGAAUUAGUCACCUCUGUCCCUUCAUCUUUAUGAAAGGAAUCGAGGCCCGGCCCGGCUCGCGUCGUUCCAACAACCGACGGGGAGCACCUCAGUAUACGAUCGCGCGCAGUAACUGGGAGUCCUAUUACACCUAAGGCCAACUUCCAUUCACCAAACCCAGGUUCAUCUCGUGUAGUGAUUGUGGACUCGUACAAGGAUAUGGAGUCGACGGUUGAUGUAUCAGACUCGACCCUGUCUUUCGUAGCAUGCAUUCCCAUCUGUGUUGCAACUGAUUCGGUAAGCUACGUGUCCGGUGCACGGAAAACAGCCUUCGGUCUCCCAACCUUACUCAUGGCAACCUUCCGGCCGCCCAACGACCUAUAACGCUAGUCACUACUCCCACUGGGGCUAGGAAGUAAGCCCCACAACCCAAAGCGGCGAAGAACAAAUAGAAUUUGCUACAAAAGCCGGCUAACGGGGGUAUUCCUGCGUAUGAGAACAUUGUAAUGGAGAAGGUCAUAGCCAAAAUAGGAUUCGUUUUGGCUAGAGCGCCCAAAUCCGCUAUAUAUUUGACACGGGUUUGCCGUAAUGCUGGAACUAUGGCGAAUGCAUCUAUCGUCAUUGAUGCAUAAAUAAAUAUACCAAUUAGUAGUGAUUGAAUUCCUUCUAUGGUUCCACAUGAGAAACCAGUACGAAUAUAACCUACAUGUCCAAUCGAACUAUGAGCUAGAGGUCUUUUUACUUUCGUUUGGGCCAUGGCGGCCAGUGCUCCUAAGAUCAUAGAAGCAAUGCUGCAGAAAAAGAAGAUUUGUUGUAAUGUACCCCCAUAGGAAGCAACAAUAGAAACACGUGACAUAUUUGCAGAAAUAGAGAUUUUAGGCGCAAUAGAAAGGAAUGCUGUCACCGGGGUGGGUGAACCCUCAUAGAUAUCAGGUGCCCACAUAUAUAGAGUCAAAAGAGAGAUUGAGUCCGAGGGAGAGGGGGGUUUUCUUGGGGCUCGAGAGAUUGAAUAGAUAGGGCCCCACAAGUUGUUAAUUCGCCGCUGGGGAAUUCACACAAAAGGGAAGGACUUAUUCUCAACGAAAAAAGUGCUCUCUGAACCGAACGUGAAAGUUGUUUUCCAUCAGACGGCUGUUCACGUAACUCCACUCUCGGCUUGGAUUAUAUAUCCAUUUGGUCCGCUCUCGGCCAUUCCACACGCUGCCUAGCAGAGACGUGGUUAUCUGAAGUGGAUUCUCUCUUUUCUUUUGUAGUAGAUGCCGAACCUGCUGCUCAGUGGGCGGGCGCAGCAGCUACAUGGACCCCUUUCUUUAUGUUGUUGCCAGCGCUUUCCCGGGCCGAGCCGGAAUUCUUUAUUAGAACGUCGGCAGGCAAAGCCCGAAGGAAGGCUGCUAUCCCCUCGGCCUUCUUCCUUUUCGAUGAAAAACAAAUCGACAUCUCAAUCUCCGAAAGCGUUUUCCUUACCCUGAAAAUAUCCCCCCCUUCGUCGAGCCUUUCCUUUAGUGGUAAGGGAUAUGCACCUUAUCUGAACGUCGGCAGGCAUUCCGGAAUUCUCCUUUUUGAGCCCCGGGUGAACAUAGGCUCAAACAUGAUUGGGGGGGUCCUAGCUACGCCAUGCGUUCAAUACAAAAAAAAGCCUCUGGGAAGCUGCAGAGAUUACAAAAAGAGGGUGCUUUCCUGUGUUGCACUGAAAAAAGGACAAAGGAGAAGACGCUCUUCGACUUUCUUUCUUCCUCCCGCGCCCGCCUAAGCCCGGCCCGCGUUAGAGGGGAAGAUUAGCAAAGCGGAAAAAGACAGAGGGAGGGGGAGCUGCAUCUUAUUCUCUUCGCGAGAACUUCAGGAUCGGAGAAGCAUUCGGAAGGGGCGAGGCCUUCAUUUCGUUGGCAGAAGCAGAAACGAUCCAAUCCAUUCGGGGCUUCGGGGAACCCAAAAACGAACUCUGUUUACUUUUUUCAUAGAUAGAUGAUAUAUAUAGGAAUAAUAUAUACAUCCCUUUACUUUAGAUGUCUAUGUAUCUUUUUUUUAAUCAUCUCCCGAUUAUCUUUUUUUUUAGUUCGCACUGCUCUUUCUCUCUAAAUUGCAUCAAAGAAAAUAGAGAGAGAGCAGAUGGAUCCUAUCCCCUAUAACGAACACUCAUUCCUAUCUAUUGAUAGAAAGAUCUUCGUCACGGACUUUGCCUUAGACUGACGGAACAAAGCUAAGAAGUAGGCUGAAUGGAAAAAGGAAAGGGACAAGGGCGGUCGUCGCUUGGCGCGAAGGCUGCCGGUUCGGUACGGUACUAAAGGUCCUCGGACUUCCAGGCGGUUUUUCUUUUGGACUGCUGUGAACCCUUGGAUCUCGCCAAUACAGCCUCCUAUGGUUUUCGUUACCGAGAUAUCUUUUCUUUUUUCCCAGGGAUUUUUUGGGUAAUCAGCUCCCAUGCUGCAAACAGUCAAAUCUGAACCUUGUCGCUCUUCUUUCCUCGUGGGCAGGAAGCACACCAGCUGCGUGCGUUGCGUGAUUCCACUGUGUUUUUUGCACUUGACUGGGCGGACAGUUGACCGGAAGAUAACUUCGAUUCGCCCGGCCAGCAGGCGGGCGGCGUGCUUAUCUUGUGUGACAACACUACAGAGCGAGUAGCUCUUCUAGUCGGGCAGCUGUGUGACAACACUCCAGAGAAAGCGGCGCUUUUGUGUAACAUGCUAUGGUCUCAACGCCCUUACGAGGUAGUGAUGAGUUUCACGCGCUCUAAGCCCGGCCCGCGCGCAGUUAGGAGGAUUGGCCGCUAUCUGAGCGGUACCACCCAUCCUACCCUACUACCUAUAGGGGGCCGUCCGUCCUACAGCCGCCCGAAAAGGAACUGCAGUAAUCUUGAAUAGGGAUCCUACAGCGAUAAAAAGAAUCCCCAUAAAAAUACCACUAGAUCGAGCACCAGUGAUUUCGUAUCCGGUCAAAAUCUUGGCUAAUUGAUCGAAGUGGGUAGCUCCAGUAGACCCAUAGAUCAUGGAACAAAUAGGGUGGGUAGGCCCAACCACCACACUACACGUAUAGACGCGAACCCCCCUCCUUACCGUACGUGCGACUCUCACCGCAUACGGCUCGCACAAAGACUCCAAAAUCCAUCCCGAGCUUUUUAUUCCACCUCUCCUCUCCAAUCCUCGAUCAAACUAGCCUUCCCCAGCAAGAAAACGUAUCCGCAGGCGCAACAAAGCGCUCAUCCCUUACUUGUUCUUGAGCGCCUUGCGCGCUCAAGACGGUGAUUCUUGCUUCAAAACUAAAGGGCUAAAGCACUCCAGCUUCGAAGCUGGAGUUUGCAACUUCAAAACUAUAGGUUUUAGCCCUCCAGCUGGGUGGGCGCUUCCUUCGUCUAUCGUAUGUCUCGCUUGGCUUCGUCCCGAACCAAGGAGGCAUGAUGGCGGGCGGCGUGCGUGUGCCGACUGUAGAGACUACAAGCCGACGCCGGAAGCGACUCGCUUCUAUUCUCGAUUAGAUAUAGAUGGGGAAUCUCUAUAGAUCGUCUUUUUUCGACAACCUCUCUAAAACGCAUACGAGAAAAUUGCACUUCACGGCACGGCCAAAAAAAGAAAGAGCUUCGCUCGGUUGGCCCUCCUAGGCUUCCGCCUACUUUCUCUUCUCUUAAGUCUACAACAAGUGGGAGAGGCAGGAUUCGAACCUACGUAGAAAACCUUCAACAGAUUUACAGUCUGUCGCUUUUGACCGCUCGGCCACUCUCCCCUUCCCGGGGAUACGCCCUCCUCAAACAAAGGGUUCCUGAAUAAGAAGGAUGGCGGCCUUCGUUCUUAAGUUAAGAAGAGCAGAUGGAACUAUUAGAUUUGCUAGCGUUCCGGGAGAAUAAAUAAGGUCAUUUAGUAAGUUCAUAACAAUUUCUGUAAAGCAAGGGGCAAAGCUUCUACGACAGCUUCCCCCUCAUUGCCAUCGUCGGCCUUCCCCAGCUCCCCUCCUUCGUCGCUUCUGGCUAAGCAUCUUUCGGCGGAGGAAAGGAGGCGACUAGUCGCUUCUGGCGAAGCAGCGAGUUCAUGAGCAAGUGAAUGAACGAGCAGCGAGUGAAGUGCAACAGUCGUAAGUAAGGCUCGCCAUGUUCCUAAACCUAAAAGGAGUGACCAUCUUUUCUUCCCUUCUACUGACACUGAGCGAGCUGCAAGCAUAGGCAAUAGUUUCCGUAGGGGUGGGGCGCAAGCAAGCGUUUUCAGGCUCCGCUAGCUAGCGUACUCUUCUGCUAUCAAUGAAACCGAAAGAAAAAACCAGUGCCCUUUCGUAUAGAUCGAGACGCAGUACUUUUUCUUGACUUCUUCCAUACUAGGAAGAAUGGAAGGAAAUCCUUCGAUAACACUUCUUCCUUAUUUGAAGAAAUGAUAUCCGACGCCCGCUCUUUCAUUUCAAAAAAGUUCUUCUUCUUAAGAAGCAAAUAGCAUUUCCUAUUGAUUUGUCCCCUGGACUAGACCUAUGUAGAUUCGGAAUUAUCCGUCGCUACGCUGUUCCCAAGGACUAGCAAAAUCGAAAUAGCGAAAUUCUUGGGUCAUCUCAAUGGGUUCAGAAACCACACGUUUCUCUGGAUCAUCAUAGCGUACUUCCACAUAUCCACUCAGAGGAAAGUCUUUUCGUAAUGGAUGACCCUCGAAACCAUAAUCAGUUGAUAUACGGCGUAAAUCCGGAUGAUUGAUGGAAGAAACACCAGACAUAUCCCAUACUUCUCGCUCCCACCGGCCGGCUGAUGGAAAUAGACUGACUACCGGAGAUAUUCGUGUUACUUCGUCCGCACUUGUUUGUACACGAAUGCGUGAGUUAUACCGAGUACUCAGUAAAUUAUGGACAACUUCAAAUCUUCGUUUUCGAGAGGGAUGAUCCACUCCGCAAAUAUCGAUCGAAACUUGAACCCUUGUAUAGGUAUGCCAUUUUAGAAAGCACAACAAUGGAAAUGGGUAGUCAGUAUUGGUAUAAGAUCUAUUCCCAUGUUCCGAUCUUUUCAUUUUAUGUACCCAUUUCUUGGGUAAAAUCUCCCAACUAUAUUGGAAAAUGGAUUGGUUAUCCAUAAAUGAAAAUAAAGAAAGCUUGAUUUUUGUUCCGCUUCUUGCUCUAAGCAGAAAGACUUGUCGGAAAUCGCCGGUUGGGUUGGUCCGACCAAGAAAGGCAUGGGAGUGGAGAGGCGGAAGUGAAAGACUGGCUACCAAUAAAGAUCCCUCACUGCACACUUUCUAUAGUUCUGUAUCCAGGAUCGGCUGCAUGCUCUAGUGUUGAAUCGGGUAUAGAACCCAGGAUGCUUGGUUACAAUUCCGAAUCCGCUAAACCAUGUUUGUUUUCUUUUUUUUUCUCGACUGGCUUUAUCCAUGGGUAAUGAGUUUCGAUGUAUUGGGCGUUUCCGUUUAGAAAUAGAAGCUUUUUCGUGCUUGCUUGCGAGCAUUGGAAUGGCCUGAAUGGAAUGAAUAUUAAGAUAAAUAAAAGAAUAAAAAUAAACCAUUAAGAAAGUUAUUCAUUCUUAUAUUAAUUUCCUAUACUUGACCGAUUCCAAUUCCGUUAUUUCAACUACACCAAAUGAUCUUUCGAAUUGGUCAAGACUCUCCAGUUUAUGGCCCCUUCUAUUCUAUUCUAUUCUAUUCUAUUCUAUAUGGUACCUGUUGUUGUUUCAUUGAAUUUGCUUCAGGCUCGCGAUUCGACUUUGAUCAUUAUGGAUUGGUACCAAGAAGAUCAAGUCCUAGGCAAGCGGACCUAAUUUUAACAGCCGGUACGGUAACAAUGAAAAUGGCUCCUUCUUUAGUGAGAUUAUAUGAGCAAAUGCCUGAAUCAAAAUACGUCAUUGCUAUGGGAGCUUGUAGUAUUACUGGGGGAAUGUUCAGUACGGAUUCCUAUAGUACUGUUCGGGGAGUCGAUAAGUUAAUUCCUGUGGAUGUCUACUUGCCGGGCUGUCCACCUAAACCGGAGGCGGUUAUAGAUGCCCUAACAAAACUUCGUAAGAAGAUAUCGCGAGAAAUAGUUGAGGAUCGAACUCUAUCUCAAAAGAGAAAUCGAUGUUUUACUACCAGUCACAAGCUUUAUGUUCGGCGCAGUACUCAUACUGGAACUUACGAGCAAGAAUUGCUCUAUCAAUCACCGUCUACUUUAGACAUAUCUUCUGAAACUUUUUUCAAAUCCAAAAGUCCAGUAUCUUCCUACAAAUUAGUGAAUUAGGAAGGGCUCUUUUGUGCAGAAAAAGAAAGAGCAGGGCAAUCUUUCAAACUUGCAUUCGAAAUGUGAAAUAUUUAUACAAAGGGGGAGAGAUCAAGACAAUGCAGCAGGGUUGGUUAUCUAAUUGGCUAGUCAAACAUGAGGUGGUUCAUAGAUCUUUGGGCUUCGAUCACCGAGGAAUAGAGACUUUACAAAUAAAAGCAGGGGAUUGGGAUUCCAUUGCUGUCAUUUUAUAUGUAUAUGGUUACAAUUAUUUACGUUCCCAAUGUGCUUAUGACGUAGCACCUGGUGGAUCUUUAGCUAGCGUGUAUCAUCUUACGAGAAUACAGUAUGGUACCGAUAGAAAAGAAGAAGUAUGCAGCAUAAAAGUCUUUGCCCAAAAGGAUAAUCCUAGAAUCCCGUCUGUCUUCUGGAUUUGGAGAAGUGCCGAUUUUCAAGAACGCGAAUCUUAUGAUAUGGUGGGAAUCUCUUAUGAUAAUCAUCCACGCCUUAAACGUAUCCCAAUGCCUGAAAGUUGGAUAGGCUGGCCCUUACGUAAGGACUAUAUAACCCCCAAUUUCUAUGAAAUACAAGAUGCUCAUUGAAUGAUAAUAAAUUCAUGCUCACUUAUACAACACAACUCCAGAUUUUAUUCAAGUCAAGGAAUAUUUUUACGUUCUGUUCCUAGACGAAACGGAAUACCUAUUAUAUUAGAAUGAAUUCCUAUUAUACAAAAGGGUCCAGAUAGACUGAGCAAAAAAGGGCUUCAUUUCGAUUCUCCAAUUUGGAAAAUCACAUAUUCAUUUCCUUCGUAUAAACAGAAAAAUACGAUGACUCAAAGAAGUUCCCUACCACGAACUUUGUACCGCGCGCAUUACUUAGAACAACUUUGUACCGCGCGCAUUACUUAGAACAACUAGGAAAGUAAGAUAAGCAAGAAUAUAAAAAUAUUCGGAAUAGCAGAAUAAGAAAUGAAAAAAUGAAGAAAAGGGAACCUAAUCUCACCUCCUUCUGUACCAUAAAGAAAAGAACCCGAGAUUUUGACCCUAAAGAAAAAGAAGUGUCUCUAUUUAGAGAUUUAUCUACUUAGAUGAAAAAAUCAUACUCCUUCUAUAUUAUUAUAGAAUAUGUAUCCCAAUCCAUCUCGAGUAAUUUGCAUCAAUACCUAUUCGGUAGAUCCUUUUUUCUGUGCCAGGAACCAGAUUUGAACUGGUGACACGAGGAUUUUCAGUCCUCUGCUCUACCAACUGAGCUAUCCUGACCAUUUAUUGUGCAUCAUCCUAGUAGAGUACUUGUAUCUAUGUCAAUUAAAGGGACUAAAAAAGAAAAAAGUAUUCUAAAAUUGGACUUAGUAAAUGUCAGGAUAAUGAUAUGGAUUGUGAAUGACUUACUUAAUAAUAGGGAUUACUUGCCUAUACUAUAAUAUGUUCAUUUGUAUGAAUGGGAUAAGAUCCAAAGAAGUAAGUUCGGAUCCGUUUGUGAAAGAGUAGAAUAAGAAAGAUAGUGAAUCUUGUUUGAACCAUUAAUGAAAAAUAGAGGUUGGUACAAUAGUUAGGAAGUAAAAUGGGCUUUUUAUUGGGGAUAGAGGGACUUGACUUGAACCCUCACAAUUUAUAAAGUCGACGGAUCAACCUUAGUGAAUACUAUAAAUUUCAUUGUUGUCGGUAUUGACAUGUAGAAUGGGAUUCUCUCUUUAUUCUCGUCAGACUUGAACCUAACGAAAAUAAGAAAGGUUCAUAGAAUUUUAUCCCCUUUUCGCGGAAGGGCCUUAAUCCGUAUUUUCUCAUUCAUGUAUCACAAAUGGAUCUAUCUACAGUAGGAUUUUUUUCUUUUUUGCUCAUUUGUAUUUUACGUACCAAAGUAAUUAAUUUGGAAUAAUGAAUUUCUAUCAAAUAAAGGUAUUAUUGCGGAAAUCUAUUUGAUUUGAUACAUUGUGGUCGGUAACGUUGGUGAAUUAACAGAAACGGAAAGAGAGGGAUUCGAACCCUCGGUAAACAAAAGCCUACAUAGCAGUUCCAAUGCUACGCCUUGAACCACUCGGCCAUCUCUCCUACAUAAUCUUAUUAUUGACCAGAAACUGAGUGAAUAGCGAGUUUUCGUAUCCCUGCAAGUACAGGUACAACCGAUCACGGGUUCCAUAGGGAGUUUGACUUCCUUUCCAAUUUAAUAUUUCUCAACAACAACUUCUCUCAUCCCCACGGAUCUAUUCAAAAUUCUGGAAUCGUCCCAUGUUUCUAUUUCGAUUGUAUGGCGUGGCGUAUACACGUUCUGCAAACAGAACGUAUGGUUACUUUACUCUAUUUUCUCAUGGCUUGUUAAACCUUUCUUUUUUCUCUUUGGAUCAUAACCAAAUCAAAACUUCUCGAGUUAUCAGAAUCCAUAGUAAAAUUCAGUCCUUGGUUAUUCAAGUUAGAUGAAAUAGUAAUAGUUUGGCUCAUUGGUAUACUACGAAAUCCAAUCUGAUUCAAAUAUUUCAUAUCUCUCUUUGUCCAAACAGAAGGAAAAGGAGACAAUUUGAGCUGGGCGGAAAGCCCAUAUCUCUCUUAUCCAUUUAGAACAUAUGGAUCUAUUUAUAAGAAUUUAUAAGAAUCGAAUUUGUUUGUUUUUAUGUUAUUUUGUGAAGUAAUGAAAAUCAAUCAUUCUAUAUAGAAUGGGUUGCUAAUUAUGCCUAGAUCCCGUAUAAAUGGAAAUUUUCUUGAUAAGACCUCUUCGUAGCCAAUAUUUUUUUCGAAUAAUUCCGACAACCUCUGGAGAAAAAAGGGCAUUUAGAGAUGGUGCGAUUUGACUCUUUUAUCUUGUUUUUUUUAGCCCUACACCUCAGUCUUACGAGAAAGAGGGGCGGUUCGCAUAGAGAGAACCAAACCAAAUUAGUAAAAGAAACCCACGCUUGGUGAAGGUGAGGUUUGGAGAUCUAACAAUUCCUUAUGUCGUGUAUCCUCGAUUGAUGCAGCCUCAGAUGCUUCAAUUGUAGAUUUGAGUAUUGAGCGAAAGGUUACACCACCUAUAGGUUCUGUAUUACAGGCCAAUCCUACUCCACUAGUACCAAUAGGCGGCAUAGGGGAAAAAGCACAACACCUAGGAAUAGGAAUCAACAACACAAAAACUUUAUUAAUAAUUACCCAGCAAGAAAACGUAUGCGCUUUAGCAACAAAGCGCUCAUCCCUUGCUUGUUGACCCGAGGGAUCCCUUCGUGACGGCCUCUAGAUUGAACUAGGGCUUAGAAAUACUGAUUUCACUGAUUCAGCUAUUUCUGUCCUAAUAGGCAAGAAGUAAAGUUUUCAACUAGAUUGAUAGAGAGGAAUGAAUCAGUAUCUAGUCCUGCCUUCCUUAAGGACGACUCUUCGGUCAAGCUUGUUUGAGACCGGAGCUAAUCCUAGCCCGAUACUAGGAUCACGAUACGCAUUUCGAGAACUGGCACCUGGGAAUAGGCCCUGCCCAAGGUGGUCAAAUUGGUACUUGUCAGGAAAUGUCAUGAAACAAGCAUGCAAGCAUAAUUUAUUAGUAGUUCCAGAUAAAGAAAGAACAAAGACUGCCUAUUCCCUUAAAAAAUAGGAUGGAACAGUUGUAUUCUGGAUAAAUUCUUUUUAUUUGGAGUUUUCCCCCUUUUUUUAGGACGCAGUUAUUCAGUAUACCCACGUGCGUAACAUUCUUGGUUGUAUCUUUAGCAACCACUAUGCAAAUAAGGCCUCCGAAAGCUUCACUAACCACUGUGAAAUAUUACUCUGGUACCAAUGAAAAUUGCCUUGCUAUAUCAAUCAUUAUCCGGUAUGGAGCCAGCGUCACUGUCGGUUUAGCGUGAGUACCUUCCCACAGUACUCGAUAGCAUUCGUGCACCUAGCAUUUGUGCUGAAUUGUCUACCAGCUCCUGCCUUCUUGUCCUUUGCGCUCAAGUCUAUGGCCAGUACUGCCCGGGGCAAUAUUAGAAGUUUUCUGAGGGUUCCAUCGCCUCUUGGUUGGUUUUUCUCCGCAAGCAGAGCAAGCUAGUUCACAUCCGAUUAUCCUUACCGCACUAACCAUUGCAGGCGAGGUAGCCUUGCCCUAACGUCAUAGAGAAGACGUGCCGCAGCUGCCUUUCUAAGACCUGGUACAAGUGAUGACCUAGUUGAUAAGGGUCGAAUGCGUAGUUCAUUCGCAUGUCUUUCGAAAGAAAGGAUGCUUCAGAACAACCAAGUAGUACUGGGAACAACUCCUAUUGCGUCAAAGGGUUCAGGAGCCAUUCUAUGAUAAAUCGAGAAGGGACAAUCCGGUCCUGGUCCAUAGAACCGAUCAGAAAGGCCAGAAAUCUGUGAUCUAUCGCACGAAAAGGGCUUCGUCCGAUCCAUUAAAAUCUAGGAAAAGUAGCCGUAUAGCGCCUGAAAUGGGUCAUGUUUCUUGUGCUCUAUAUCGCAAGUUCGGAUAGGCUUGCAUAUGUUUCUAUCUCAAAGUGGAAAACCAAUUAUACGUUAGCUAGCACGAACUAGAACCGCCCCUCGAUUUUAGUAUCUGACCUUCAAUUCCAAGAAAAGGUAGUAAAUAGGUAAAUCGGUUAAAGCUCUUGUUUGGGAAAUGGGUUGAGUUGAAUUCAUAUUAAUCUUGCCAAGAACAGAACAAGAAAAAAAACAUAAUUGGCUAAGGCACUUUCCUACCGGUUAAGAUUUCCAGUAUUCUAACAAUCAUCACAAGCUAAAUGGAUAGCCUUGCUUUGAAGUAAAAAGAUAGAUUGAACUUAUCUUUCAUUUGUCAAAUCUCUAAACAUCAAUUCAAUGGAAUUGAUUCUGUUGAAGAAAAUCGAUAAACUGAAAUCAAAUGGAAUCAGAAAAAACAAAUCAAAUGUCAUUCCAUCAAUUGACGACAAAAGAUAGGAAUAUGCAUUAGAUGGACAAAUUUUCACACACUCAUGUCAAAAUGCAAGUAAUCUUAAACUUUCUGAUCAUCAAGGCUCCGAAACGAAGAACUUCUUGGAGUACGUGUACUUCCUUUCCCAUAAAAACGUUCUAAAUUCCUCUGUCUGAGAGAUGGGCACUUAAGAGCUAGAAGACCCACAUAACGAGUACCCAUGAGGGAGGCGGGCUACAGUGCUCAUGCAAGGCAUAAACUUUCAAGAAAGACAAAUUCUACAAGCAGGAGAAGUAUCCUAGGCAAGAAGAGGAAUAUCCUAGCAAAGAAGGUGAAAUAAGCGGUUAAGAGAAGCUGACCAAGCAAGCUUCGAAGACGAUCGACCAGUACACUCCAAAAAAGACAACCAAGAUUGAGUGACACGCCACUAAGAGAAGAGAACCUUUUGAAUACAUAGAAAGCUUCCUGUCGCUACUCGGCUGUUUCGACCGUUACCCGGUAGACAGAGGCCCCGGUUCCAAUAUACUAGGCGCGGUACUCCCCACGAAUUGGUUAUGACUACGAUAGAGAAAUGCCAUCGCUAGAGGGACGAGCGCUAGAUACGCUAGAGGAACUUCACUCCUCCUUAGUAAAAGUGAGACUAGGUAGAGGAGGUAGAAAAUAAGGCCUACCGUCUAUAUGGGACUAGUCAUCAAAAAAGCAACCUAUAUCGACGUAAAGAGAGCUAGGGUGAAGUGGACUAUUAGAUCCCCGGCUUACCAUUAGAAAGAAAGCUUAGCCUUAGACGUCAAUGUGUUAAGCAUAUAGGAAGCCUUCUAAGAAAGUCAGUAAGAAGUAGACUUCAUUCUGAAACUCCAGCAUUUAGGCCCGUAUAGAAUGGGUCCUCAAGCUUAGAAUCAUUUGGCCUAACCUUUAAUACUCGUCAGCAUCUUUUCAUCCGGGUCGUACUAAAGGCAGGUAGACCGAACACACGGCACCUGUCCCAAUGACUGGUACACUGACGGUGGCUUAUUGGCUCCUUCCUCCCUUCCAUCCUCAAGUCUUACUUUCCUUGAUGCCUUAGUUUACUUGAUGCCCGAUUCAUUCCUCCCUAUAUUCAAUCUCUUGAGCCAUAUUCUAGAGUCAGGUUUGACUUGCCUUUCCUUACUUUCUUUACUUCACUAGCCUUACUGGACAUACCAUACAUACUGGACUGACUGGGCUUAGCAACUAGUUAUGUCCCUAUUGGACAAAUCUCCCCUACACCGUAACCGUAACCGGAUUACAUUCAUUCAAGUUGGCAAUCCCCUGAUCUUUGCUUUGCUUCCGGUGUGCGAUCCGAAUUUACAUAUAAUGACCGUAGUUAGCAGGCAAUGGCCAAGGUCAGUGCAUCUCGAACUAGUGGGUCACUAUAUCUAAACUAUCUAAUACAACUAUUGAAUGCGCUUUCUAUCUAUCUAUACCGGUACCAUGAAAAAGCAGAAUAAGCAGUUGAGCACCAAUAAAUUCCUGUUUCAAGUAAGUAGGAAGGGGGCAAGAGAGACUGUCAUAAUAUUACUCUGGGAGACGGAUCCUGUUAAGUCAGUACGAAUGUGAUACGAAAAAUCCUCUUCCAUUCUUACCGGCUGGGCUAAUCCCUGAUGUGGUCACAUAUAUAAUAUGCAAAUCUCUGGAUGCUGCUUCGGCUUCCGUUUCUAGCUCUGCUUGAGCAGCUUCGUCUGUUUCUCUUGAUGUGGAUGUCGGUGAGUCAGAUCUCUUCUCUCACUUUCGGAGCACAGUUGGUCCUCAAUUUGAAAACCGAGAAAGGUGAGUUCUUCCUUAUUCACGCCUUGAUGCACCUUUUUUUCGUGUUCAAUCUCGCCUGAGAGCAGUGCAUCGAUACCAUUCGUCUUGAAGAGCCUAUAUAAGCCCUGACCGAAGAGAAUCCUUUGAUAUCCGUCUUGCCUUCUCAGUCCUCCUUAGAAUCUCAUCCCAUAGGUCUCAGGGUCCCCUCCACCGACCCUUGUACUAUCGGUUUCCGGGCGUGAGCCAAACCUAGGGCUUGGAUCGAAAUAUAGCUUUACUUCCUUUAUUUCUUUAGUCUGAAAGAGUUCCCAGCUUAUACUCAAGGCUAUAAUAGUUCUAGUUUUCUUUCUCAUUAGGGAAGGCGGGCUCGCUAGCCUUAUUUUUAGCGGCCGGGAGGUCUUUUCGCUAAUGUGAGAGGCAUCGGCAGCCUCAACCACGGUUCAAGCACCGGCUCACGACAGAGCUUGAUCAUACCAGGACCUACUUCAUUUUCUACUCCACUAGGUUAGGUUACCGAUUUUCCUGUCAUAGAUAGUCUAGUGAAGCUAGCUUACUAAUGCCAAGAACUACUACUCACCAAAACCUAUCCUUACUAAUACACGGCUAUAUGAUAUUCUUAUUAUUCUAUUUCUAUAUUUACUCAUAUUCUAGUUUCGUAAAGCUAUACUUUAGAGAAGGAAAGAGAGAUUCUAGGACCACUUGCCCAUAAGAAUAAGACCGAACUUAACUACCUGUAACUGUCCCAACUGCCCAUGUGUACUAACCCCCCGAAAUCACUUUCCCUACUGCUACGUUGAAAUGAAAAUGCCCGCCUCCAAUCCGCUUAGUUAGACCAGACUCUCAGACAUAUGAUUGUUGAGUUAGCCAAGUGAGGGGUUCGUUCAGCCCGUCAAUAAAGCUAUUCUCGGUAUAGAAAUAGAUAAGAAGAGCUCCAAUUAGGGGCAGGCGCAAUAAGGAAGGUAAGUCAAGAAGCCAACGGAUUAGAUAGAAAUAGGCUUGGUCAAGUGUUUAAAAAAGAGGUGACCCGAACGAAUGAUUUCAAUCCCACGAGUGAUUUAUCAUAACAAAACUGUAAUUUCACCCACCAGUGCAGCUAAGGGCAACAAGAGCUAAUAGACUGAGCUAAGGCUGAAGAAAUUGGCUAAUAGACAGACUCUGUUAGGGCAACAGCUUAUAUGCAUGCUACUUUUCAGAAUCGAACUGAAAUUGGCCCUCGUCAGACCUAUCCAUCAACAGGAAUCGCUUUGGUUACGCAGUUCAAGACAAGAAGAGAGGCAACCUCUCUACAUCUGCGAGUAUAAGGGAAGGGGCCUCUAGUUUCUACCGGAACUCGUUACCAGCUUGUUCUUUUCUUUCCAGUUUUCCAGUACGAAUAGGAAGAUUUUUUAGCCCAGACCUAACACUCUCUUUUGGUUGGUUACUUCAUUGAAAUAGAAAGUACAUCUCUAACUCCUGGCUAACGCGAAUCAUUCAAAAACUACUUAUCGGGUUGGGCAACCAACACGUGAAAUCGAUGCCGGGCGACACUUCCUUCAAUUAAUUGUUUAGGUUUACUUUGGCGGAGCAUUCGAUCCAGGUGUGGGAAUCAUUCCGACAUCAUGUAUUUGCCCUAGCCUGUUGGGAAUGUAGGUGUCCGAGAAUGAAAGCUCGGCAACAGAGCAGACCGGAAGAAGUAUGUACCUCAUGAAGCAAGGACUAGCCAGAGCUAGUAGUAUGGCCACAUUUGCUGGAUGAAUCCGUUCACUGCCAGCUUCUCUAUCGCACUGGAAGACAGCCUAGAAAGAGUGCAAACAGGAAGCAUAGAUCCUUGAGAAAUAGAGGAGCUAUGAGUGCUGUCCACAACCUCUAAUGUUCCGAAAGAGAUAAUCCGUCACUCGCUCCAGAGACCUCAGUACCGUGCUAACUCCAAAAAUUUCCUUCUUUACUACAUAAAAAGCAUCAGCUGCUGGAUAGAAAGCAAAAGCAUUUAUUUAUAGCUGACAGUUAGCUUUCGCUAGAUUUCUUUCUUAUCACCUUUUCUUUUACAUUUGUUUUGAUUGUAGAUUGGGUCGGUGUAAAUAAAGGGUGAGCUCCAAACUACAGUGGGAAAGGCCAAGUAUACACCAACCAUACUUUGGAGUGAGAAGGAGAUCCUAACUAAAAAAAUAAGGCAUCUGAUACUAUGCUUCAAAGUCCCGUUUGGUCACUUUCAAAAGAAGGAUGCGCCGCUAUUUUAUCAUCAUCUGGCACUGCUUGACUUGCUUUCACAGCUUUUAGCUUGAACGUGGCACUAAAGCCUCCAUGUCAUCUAAAGAAAAUAGUUCAAGACAGUAGAGCACUGAGGGAAUUACCAACAUGAGUUCCGCAUUUCGUUUAGUGAAUGCGGAGAUAAAAGCUGCUGCUAUUGAUGCAAUUGGACUGCUCGCUUGACACGAAGGCUAUAAGAAUCAAAGGAAAUACAGGGCGUAAAUGACUUUGGAGUUCAAACCAGGCAAAGUCCUUACUUACUCUGCUCUUAGGCUCGUUUCAUUUCCAUUACACCAAAGUAAGUAGAAUGGAAUGUUGUAGAUGUACGAAAGACGAGAGAAGAACCGGAGGACAGGAGACACCAACCGAGUUGAAAGAGGACUGAAACAUGCCACUGAAAGACUCUACUAAGACAAAAGAUAGGUUCUAAAACAGGUAGAGGAGGUAGGAUGGGCUGUUAGUCAGAUCUAGUAUGUACUAUAGUUGGAGUAGGCGGUUCUCCUAGGCUUCCCUCAUCUGGGAUCCCAGGGUAAGAGGAUCAAGUUGGCCCUUGCGAAUAGCUUGAUGCACUAUCUCCUCCCUUCAACCCUUUGAGGGAAAUGUGGCAAAAGGAAGGAAAAUCCAUGGACCGAGCCCAUUGUCUCCACCCCGUACGAACUACGAGAUCACCCCAAGGAUGUCGAGCCUUUAUUGUGGAAUUAGUAACUUUCCAUUCCUUGCCGGUAGGUUGCACCGCUCACAAUACAAGAGAGAAGAUUAGCUCAUCGAAUAGCACAAGCACUCUUUAAGUUCUAUUGUCUGUUGAUUGAAUUCAGUCUGAAUCCAUCCCGAUUGUUUCAAUUAUUCAUCUAGUUUCCGAUGUUGUUGUUGAUGAUGUUUUAGUAGCUUAGGGUAGGUAGAUGUAGACAGGUACCUUUGAUGUUUGAACUUAUUAGCGAUUUAGCUUUUAGCAGAGCUUCCUUUUCUAAGUCAGAUCUCUAUGGAACGAACUCCCUUGAGGGUAUACAGACCUAUUCAAUAUGUCAUUUCCGAAACCGUACCCGCCUGCUCAAUCUUAGACACUGUGGCUACGUGCCUUCAAACCACCGGGGUUCCGUCUUAUGUCCGCCGACAGGACUUCUAGAGCCAAGGCAAGGAAACAGAACUUCCACAUCCUCUGUUCACACUACCUGGAUUGGAAUUGGUUCUAUCGAGAUAUACAGACUUGAAACAGGAAUUUAUUGGUAACUGCUUCUUCUUUGAAGCAAGUGCUUUCGGGUUGGCUCUUCUGAUAUGUGUAUUUGCUACCCAUACGGAACAAUUUCAUUGAUGAAAGAUGGAUGGCUAUAUGAUCAAAGGACUGGAAGAGAGUAUUCUAUGGUGGAUAGGAUGAAGAAUAAGAGGUGCACUAAUGAAAGAAAGAGGAGCAGUAGCUUCAAUCUAAAGCAUGUAAUCUGAGCUGUCUAUCCCGAUAGGAAGUCAAGACCUAAAGUAAGCGGAAGCCAAUCCUUAUGAGAAUGAUAGGAGGGAGGCUAAUCCGAGCAGUGGUAGAUGCUCUUUAUAGUUGUUCAAUAUGGCUCUUCAAGCUGAAUGCGAGGAAUGGAAGCAGUAGCACAACUGACUCAUUCUUAGCUUCAUUGCAAUAUUAGGCUUAGCUUUAGUAGAAUCAAAGUAAGCGGGGCUUCGCUCUAUCCCAUCUCUUUGGGGGGUAGGUGGUAGGUUCCACGUCAUCGCGGCAGCUCUCAGGGCGGGCAUUGCUUGGUUCCAGAAAGGGCUUUUAGCUCGUUCUUGCAUUUUUCUUCCAUCAAAUCACUUAUUUCUGAUUCAUUCUAGCAUUAUCAUCUACCAGUUCAUAUUGGCUCAUUCAAGAAGAGGGUCUCAAGGUAAUUAGAGACUGUUGAAAGCCAAAAACCAUGCGUUCAAAGUGGAAAAGAAAGAAGACUGCCGUUGCAAGAGCCAUUGAUUCAACACUCCGGCCGGGAGAAGGGAACCAGAAAUGGGAGACAGACCGAACUUCUUGCUUCGAGUCCUGCCGCCCGCUGCUCCCGGUUUUCCUCAUUUUCUCUCUCUUGCUGAAAGAAAACCUUAAAACUUUGUCCGACAGGGAUCCAUUAUAAUUAGAUAUAGUAAGUAGUUGGUUGGUCCGAGAAAGCCCUGACUGAAUGAUGAGCCUUUACCAGCUAAGGGGAAAUAGGUGUGCUGGCUGCACUUUGUAAUGAGAAUCAAGAUUUUGUUUGGUCUUUUUGUAUCAAAAUCCCUCGGAGGUUACUAGGCAGAUCUCAAGGUAGAAGUCUCCUAUUUCCUUUCCUAUUCGUCCUUCCCCCGUUUUGAUGAGGCGGAUUUGUCUUAAAUAUAUUUGGAGUAUAGCAGGAGUAGAUUCGAUUGAAUCAAAAUCUUUGAACCUUAAGUCUCUUCUAUAGGUUGGAAGGCGGAUCAUUUCCAAGAGGUUGCUAGUUGACCCCGAUCGAUCUCUUUCGACGCGGAUAAGAAAAAAGGAGAAUAAAAAAUGUCUAAAGAAAAGAAGAAGAAUAAAACAGUCGGUCGUCACUACCAAUGCUUUCAUCUGGAGGAAGUCAGGCUGUGAUCGAGUGGCUUUCCCUUUCUACUUCAAGGAGAUUCUGGGUGCAAAAAAAAGAAAGCGGACGGAAGAGGGAUAGAACCCCUUUUAGAGACCAAGGCUACCAAGAAAACUUUCUCAUCGUUCUCUGUCUUGUUCAACUGAUUUGGCGUCCUAUCCGAUGGAUGAAUGAGGAGCCUUGGAUGGAAUAGAAUGAGGAGAAUGCUUGGGACAAAAAGGAGAGGAAGACUACUAUGAUGCAUGGAAAGGAAUGCAUGGAAUGAAAGGAGCCAGGACAGACGUAGAACUCUGGAAAUGGGCGGGCGACUUCUCACGCGAUCUAUAAUGCUAUGUUGAUAGAUAGAAGAUUUCUGAAUAGGCAGAAGAGAAGGGCAGAAGUUCAAAAUGGAGCUACGUAUGCUCCAGGGCAGACUGUAAUCAAGGAAAUUCCAUUUCUAGGCACGUUUUGACCUAAAUGUGAUCCGGAACCUUAGUAGCAGUAAAAAUAGAAGUUUUGAAUUAUCAAACCCGUGCUCAGAACUCAACUUCUGACUCUAGCCUUCCAACCUGGCAUGGUACCCGCAUCCUGCCCUCGCCCAAGCGGUCAGUGAACUCCGGAGCGGGAAGGUAACUCUAGCAGUUGGUCUUAAGGGAGGGGGGCGUCUAUCAAGGAUCUAAUACAUUUUCCCAAGAAAUAUGAAAAGCAAAGAAAAGGAAUCCGUACAAUGGGAAGCACCCAGAAUAAGGAAUCAUGGUGAACAUCCCGAUAAUAGGGGGCAUGUCAAAAGAGGCACGAUGGCAAGCAAGACUAACUUCCUACCUUUGAUUGAAGAUCCACCUCUCCCCACACUCUUGGUGACUCCAAGAAAGAGAGAAAACUCCUCUAUCCCGGGCUCCACAACAAGACAAGGUCUUCAAUGGGCGAAAGCCCGAUCCAAGAUGCCCCGCUGCAAGAAGAAGCUCUUUGAUCACCAUCUAUCGCAAAUAGAAUAUAGUGAAAAGAUGAUAAAAAAUGCCAGUUUGCUUAUUGAAGAGCCCUGAAUAAGCAAAGGUUCCCAGGACUGCAAAUCCUUGUUUGUGUGGUUAGAGCAAAGGACUCGAAAUCCUUCAGUGGUUCGAAUCCACUGCCUGAAUGAAUAAGCGGCGGGAGAAGAGAGCAGUAGCCACGGGUGAUUGACCGACAAAGCCGCCAAUUGAACUUCAUUGAUUCAGUCAGCCAGGUGCAUCAAAGGCUUCGAAAUCUCUCUCCUCGGAACAGCGGAACAGCUUAUUCUAAUAUAGCUGGGAAAUCAAUGCUUAAACCAGAAAUAGGCGAACCUAGCGCUAGAGAAAUGCGUAUAUAGAGGUACGAGCUCUACUCUAGAAGUACGAAUAAUACGAGACUUGCGUUGCGAGCGAAUACCGGGAUAGCGAAAGCACAUGCUUUUUUUUUCUAAUUUUAUAGAAUCCCCUUUUCCUACGCCAAUACUUGUUUAAAGAAAUUCUCAAGGGAAGUAGGGCUUCAAGGAAGUAGACAACCACUUAUCGGGGAGGCACUCUUGUGGCUAGGCCUUUCAAGUAGGUUGGUUCUCAAAUAGGAAGGCAAGCUAGUAGGAUUAGGAAACUUGGUAUGGUAUAUUUUUAUUAGGGAAGUCGGGAAGUAGCCUAAAGGAUAGGGUCGGAAAGCUUAUUAAUAUUACUGGGUGGGCAAUCCAGCUAGUACUAGGUGGGAGGGGCGAAGCGGACAUAAAUUACAAAUAUUUGCUAAAAGAAGAUAAAGAGUAGUACACACCCACACUUCCUUAAAGCAAAUCGGAUGAUUUGAAUUGUAGUAAUCAUGCCCAUAGACUGGAGAAUAUUUAGAGAGUCCAACUUUCACUACUACUUCCCCUUCAACGGCUACCCCGAUUGCGGCUCAUAUGUCUAGUUUCGGUUAUGGUUCCUACUUCCGGGUUGUAUCCAACGGCUCCUCUAACAAAGCCUUUGCUUUGGUUGAAUCGUAUUGAGUUCCGGGUAGUAGAGUCCUCGGCUUCGAUUCUUUCCAACAACGGUACGGUUGACUUUCGAACAACGGCCACGGUGUUGGUUCCUACUCGAUUGAUCGGCUUCCUUUAGCUUUGUUACGGCAUGUGUAGAACCAUUCGUAGUAGCGUACGUUCCCUACGUUAAUUGAUAGCGCUAGGUGAUCAUCGACAGCUUGGGCUAGGCCACGGCUCGACACAUCCUCCGAUAGUCCCUUUUCUCGGCUUAAAACCAAUACGAAUUGCUCCUAUGAUUCCCAGCGCUAGACCAGGGCAAGGGAUCUAUUUGUAAUGUCAUCCCCACAGGAUGAAAUAGAAUAAUGCUAUCCUACGGCACGGCUGUGGACUCACCAAAACAACAAUACCAACUUUCCAACUUUUGAUCAAGGGAACCUCCUUUCUAAAUGGCGGGAACGGUACCAAUGGAAAUAUUCUUUUUGUUAUUCAAUAGCUUUCAUCAAAUGAAAUCCUCUAUCGCAGCAUCCUGACUCGGUUUCGGAAAGUCGGAAAACAGGUACGGUUCCCUACUCGGGGUAAACUUGGGAAUGGGAAGCCUUUCCAGCACCAGCUUAGGCCAAUACGACGUAGUAAAUACGAUUCCCAGCGCUUUUAUCCAAUGAUGCUAUCCCCACGAAUGAAAGAAAUAAAUCAAUUAAAUAGUUGUAGGCUCCUCUUUCGGAUUCAAUAGUAGUAGACGGCUGUAGUUCCGAGAUAUCCUUCCCUGCCUUUUCAAUUAAUAGCUCGGAUUCGUAUCCUCGGGCGAGGGAAAUAUGCUUAAACCAAGCUUCCCCCUUUGUUCGGGUACUCCUUUCAGGUGAGAGGCAGGCGCGAGGCUAGGCAAAAAAGAGCUUUCUAUGACCUCCAAGACGGAGCGAGACGGAUAGGCAGAGCUAGAGCUCUUAAAGUCUACCCGGGCUAGCUUCUUCAUUCUUCGAUCAGGGGCGGGCUUCUUCCCUUAUAUACGAUGACAUAGAUAGAGCCUCCUUCUUUGAUCCAUUCAUUGAUAAAGUAGUCUUCGGGGGCAGUUUACCUUUUGAAUCGACAGUAGAGUAGGUUUGAUCUUGCUUUCUCAAUCUUUCUCUGAUCCUAGCCGUGUAGUAGAUCCGGCUUUAUUCGGCUAAAAAGAAGUGUGUGUGGCCGUCGUAUCUGCUCGCCCCCUUCUUCAUUCAUCCAUUUAGGUCAGAAUGGAUCCAGGGAACCUGGCUCGGGAACAGCCCUGAAAAAACACAGUAAGAGAGUCCAAUCUCUUAAAUAUAGCAUUUUAUCUCCUAACCUAAGUAGUAGUAGUAGAAGGCUUAGUAUCUGACUUGAUCCAAUAGAGUCAGAACACACAGUAGAUCCAGAUUCCACACCUUGCUGUGGACUGGGGAGAGAGCAGCUCUGCGAAGCUGGGCGUUCUGUGUGAUUAUGGAGGAACUGUAGUACUCGCCCCAAAAUGCAAGCCGGGAUAGAUACUUAAAGAAAGGGGGAGCGGUGGGCCUUCAAAAAGGAGCGAGGGAGUGAUGGGCAACCUUAGUCUAUAUGUUGCUCGUGAGCCGCCAAGUACCAGUCUCGCAACAGUACUGGCGUUAAAGGAUCGGUCCUUCACUUGCGGAUCGUUCGCGAGUCGAACUCGCUCUCUUGCCACGCCUUUGACUCACGAACUCGAGUCGGACUCAUUCACUGCUGACUGAGGAUCGUUCGUUCUUCACUCUCUUGCUAUUACCCGCAGGGAGCGCAGCAACCGACGGUGCAUAUUAUCAUAUAGAAAGAAGCGAAGCGUAGCGAUUCGUACUACCGGAAAAGUGCCGCUAACCGCUAGGCAAUAGAGUCCGCUUACGGGGUGGGGCGCAAGUAAGCGUAGCGAAUCACAUAGAGUUGCCCCUACCUGCCAGCGCGCAGAUAGAUAGGGCGGGCGAGCGCAGGGAUGGAUGUCUGAGCGGUUGAAAGAGUCGGUCUUGAAAACCGAAGUAUUGAUAGGAAUACCGGGGGUUCGAAUCCCUCUCCAUCCGCGAGGGCAUAAGUUCUCUCUUGCCUUAUCUAUAGAUAAGAACGAAUCUCCUCGACUCGACGGAUAUGAUGGAUGGAAUGGGUAGAAGGUUUAGGUUAUUGUGUGUUGAUUUAGUUAGGACUUUGUCUCCCUUUCGUUAUCUUCCGCCCCGGGUGGAUGACCUGUGGGAGCUAAGUCGAAGAUCUCGGUGUCGCCGUGAGUGGUUGAUAAACAGCGAUUGCUGUUUGAUUUAAGGAGUCCUAACCCUGUGAAGCUUAACAGACAAAGAAAACGAUAGAGACUUCCGGGUAUAGGGUGACGACCUUAAUGAAUCAAGUAUUCAGGUGGCAGAGUUAUUAGCUACAUAAGCGCUCAAAUUCCUGAAUACUUAUUGCCCUGGCUUCUAUGAUCAACCCCUGGCACAUUUAGGUUUUGAUCUGAGGCUAUCCUGGUCUGCAGGACCCAACACAAGUAUUCAUCCUUUCCAAUCUGAAAAAGGUGUUGCCGAAAGCUUACCCUCUUCCACACGGAUGCUACAGCCGCUAUCACUUUUGCAGGAGGGGAAUUACAGAGUUCGCCUCUCGACAUCUUGUUUGGUAAACGGAAACCCAGGCGCCCUAGUGUUGCCUAACCGUUCGGCCGGAGAUGUCGGAUGCGAGAUCUUUAGCUACUUGUAUCAAUUUGCCACAUUUCAAUAGAUACAAUGCGCUGGCAGCUGAGGCUUGACAGGAUGGGAGUGAAUUAAGGUCGAGGGAGCAGGAAAGAGUUUGUUAUUCGCUAUUGGCUUAGUACGGCCUAUACAUAAUAGGGCCAUGACGGUUUUGGCAAGGCCUUGAACUUCAUAUAUCCCUUUUUUUACUCAAUCCAGAAUACCAAUAAAGUCAGAUUGAAUCAUUUUAUCGACCUUUCCUUUGGAUUUAUUAUCAUAGGUAGUGUUCGAGAUCGCCUCUGUGCGGUGAACGCUCGAAUGUAGAUCAGUUUUGUCCUCGCGUGGUUGAAGGAGAUGCUGCUGCUGGAUGGAAUGCUUCCGGGGCGCCAUGAUCCUUCUAUCUGGAAUAAUCGAGGGCACUGACUGACUGCAUCAAUCAUCGCUCAGUGAGCUAUUAAUUGCCGCCAAUAGCGCUUCGCUUGCAUGCAAGGCGGCUAAUAAAAGCGCCAGGUAGACGCGCGGAGAUGCAUUUUGAGUACUGGUGGUACUGGACAAGCUCUAGGGGAAUAAUCUCUUUCUUAUUUCUUUCUUAUUUCUUUCCCAUGACGACUAGGAACGGGCAAAUCAAGAAUUUCACUUCGAAUUCCGGACCUCAACAUCCUGCUGCUCAUGGUGUUUCACGAUCAGUAUUGGAAAUGAACGGAGAAGUGGUGGAACGUGCGGAACCACAUAUUGGAUCACUCCAGUGCGGCACGAAGCCGCUGACGCUGAGUAGGCUCCUAUGCCGCUAGCACGGUGGAGGUUCCGUAGCGCGUCAUGAGCACCGGGCAAAGGGACGGUUGAGCAACUCAAGCGAACCGCUCUACCUGACUUUGGAUAAAGAUAGAAGGGAGAAGGUUGUGAAGGUGGCCUCGUUAUCCACACAUCUGGUCGGAGGACCGACCUGGGUUUUCACGAGCGUAGGCGGGUCCUGGAGUGCCCGUCAAGGGCGCUAGCGCAUACCCCGGGGUGAUCAUCACCACCUGCACCUCACAUCUCGGCACAGUGGAACGUGUAACCCGCCUGCUGUCCAAGUCAACCACUUAAUUUCCUGUAAUUCAUAGCACCUAACAGAACGUAGCAGCAAGGGACAACCCACCCAUACAGACAGCCUGCGGGGAGGAUGGCACUACUGGCAAAGACCGUCUGGCGAAAACGCCGCUGGCGCGAAGCGUGGUGGGCCUGCGCCGGGGGAGCAUAGGGAGGAAAGGGAGCCCGGACGGUGGAAGAGCCAGGGGAAGCCGGGUCAUUUGACGGAAAUGGAAGGUCCGAGCAGCUCAUUCAUUCUUGGAAAAAGAGGGGGGGAGCGAGCCAAUGUAUCAAUGAAUAGAUACAGUCAACGGUAGACAGACAGCGCUGCCUACACGCGAAUUAGCUUCCGAACAAGCAAGGGAUUGAGCAACUAGCGCGAAAGCCGUUGCGCUAACGCGCAUCCGUUUUCUUGCUGGUCGAGCAGUCUCAAUUUCACUACAGGAUUUGCGAAUGAAUGCUGGGCUGGGCCACCUCAAAUGGCGUGAGCCGCAUGCGGGGAGACCCGCACGUACGGUUUUCAGGGGGAUCCGGCCGGCCGGCGCCCACCCGACUAGAGGGACUGAGAAAUUAAUCGAGUACAAAACUUAUCUUCAAGCUUUACCUUAUUUUGAUCGUUCAGAGGGCGAUCGCGGAGUCACUGAAUGAAGUCCUCCCUCCCUUUCUUUCGGGGGUGCUGACCCGCAGCGAGGCAGAUAUGACUAAGUGACAUAUUGAAUAUGGCGACGACUACAGCAUGUCGUAGAAGGAGAUAAGAGGUGGAGCCAACGACCCACUAAGACUCACGUAUCUACAACUACAUUCCCGAGCGGCAGUCAAACGGAGGCGUGAAUGCAAGAUGCCAGCGGAAUGAUCGACCGGACAGAGGCU
rnacentral:lncRNA from 1 species